AGGCGGCCAAACUGUGCGGUUGAUCAACGGAAAACGUGCGUUCGCUCGCUGUUGCCGAACUCCGCCAUAUCGCGUUCUUUUCUUUCGCAAUUGUUCCGCAAAAGUGUUCCACAAAAUAAACCGAAACGUUCUCCGCACGCUGACACUACUGUGUAUCGUGCUUUUGCUUAUCGCUCCCUGUGCCUAUGAGAUCGAAAAGGUCAUCACGCACCCAAUCUGCCGGCUACAGUUGCAACGAGAUGGCUAAGUCUUCACUUCAAUCGACUUUGAAGUUUCUGAGGAAAGUCAGCCCGGUACUACCUGUGGUCAGGAUUGCUCUUCAGUACACACUCGGGUUUCAUUCGCCCACCAUCGAAUGGGCAAAUAUCUCUUGCCCGACUGUUUCACCCUGGACGUGGUCCGAGAAAUGCUGAAAAAAUGCAAAGAUGAGGUGAAGUGGAGGGCUCGGUGAUCGUCCACAUCGUUCGCCCUCCCCUCUCCCGACGAGACUAACAACAUUACGGGAGACACUACUAAACGGAACUCCAGCUCCUGCAAAUCGUAAAUAUAUAGAACUACAUGUAUCUUUUUCUAUCAUCACUAGCUGAAUCGUUCGCACGCACUUCGUUCUUCGUUCUCUGCUGCUCUUUAACGUUACAUUGAUUUCUAUCGGAGGUUAAAACAACACCUCACCGUAGGGGACAGAGUAGUGGCAUCUUUCACGCGCUAGUCCCUAGUCGCGCAGAAGAUGAUCAUAACUUAAGGAAAGCGCCAAGAGGCGAAAAGGCGAAAAUAGGGAGAAGAUAGUAAUAAAAUAGUAGACAUACAGAAACACA